GCCCUCUUAGCACAGCUGGCAGUGUAUCAGUCUCAUAAUCUGAAGGUCCUGAGCUCAAGCCUCGGAGAGGGCA